CCCUUAAGUUUGAUCCUGGCUCAGCCUGAACGCUGGCGGCGUGGUUAAGACAUGCAAGUCGCACGGGGCCCGCAAGGGUUCAGUGGCGAACGGGUGAGUAAUGUGUCGCUAACGUGCCCCGGACUCCGGGAUAGCCGUCCGAAAGGGCGGGUAAUACCGGGUAACAUCACGCGGAGGCAUCUCCGUGUGCUCAAAGGUCCGCCGGUCCGGGAGCGGGCGACAUCGUAUCAGCUAGUUGGUAAGGUAACGGCUUACCAAGGCGACGACGCGUAGCCGGACUGAGAGGUCGGCCGGCCACAUCGGGACUGAGACACUGCCCGGACUCCUACGGGGGGCUGCAGUAACGAAUCUUCCCCAAUGCACGAAAGUGUGAGGGAGCGACGCCGCGUGUGGGACGAAGUCCUUCGGGAUGUAAACCACUGUCAGGGGUUACCAAGUUCUGAGGAGCCCCAGAGGAAGUGGCGGCUAACUCUG
rnacentral:rRNA from 1 species